AGCUUGGUGAAGUUAUGUAAUACCGGAUAGAUGGUUAUUAAAUCUAUACUGGCAAUUGUCGUCACUAAUACGUUGAAUUUGUCUAUGAUAACGCCUAAUGUCUCAAGUUUUACGCCUAAAUCUCUUAACAUAACGAAAACGCAAUGUAAAUAAACAACAUUUUCAUUUUUAAUGAAUAAAGUGUAACAAACACGAAUGAAGUUAAAACGCACAUCUAAAGAUACUGUAAUAUUUAUAAAACAAACAUUUUUUAAAUACAUUU